rnacentral:rRNA from 1 species
UACGGAGGGUGCAAGCGUUAUCCGGAUUUACUGGGUUUAAAGGGUGCGUAGGUGGGUCUGUAAGUCAGUGGUGAAAUCUCCGAGCUUAACUCGGAGACUGCCAUUGAUACUAUAGAUCUUGAAUUAUCUGGAGGUAAGCGGAAUAUGUCAUGUAGCGGUGAAAUGCUUAGAUAUGACAUAGAACACCAAUUGCGAAGGCAGCUUACUACGGAUCGAUUGACACUGAGGCACGAAAGCGUGGGGAUCAAACAGG